GCCUUGGCCUCUGGUGGGAAUUCAGAACUGGUGGGGAUAGGGUUUUCUCCAGCUGCCCCUUGGGGCGUCAUUGUCCUCUUUCUGCCAUCCUCCACCCCCACCCUCUGCCUGUCCAAGCUCCCUCUUCAAGGUCCUCCUUGAGGCUGAAGGACCCCAAGGACAUGUUUGCCCAAGGAGCUUUGCAUCCAUGAGCUCUGUGCAGGGGGCUGGUGCUCACGUAUGGGCCUGCGGCCCCAUGGAGGUGGAAAUCCAGUGCCGUAGACGCUCCAGAAACAGCCCUGGAGUUCCACCACUGCCUGGCCUUCCGCAGCCUUGUGAUGUCGCCCUUAAAGAGCCAGUGCCACCCCGGCCGUCGCCUGUCCCACCCGCCGCACCCACAGACCUCCCCUGGGCCGGUGCCCACAGAGCAACACCUCCCACCAAGAGGGAUUUUUCCGUGCCUGUGCUGUGGAACACUGGCACUGAGCACCCCACGACAUUCUCUUAUUGUACUCUGUGGUCUCAUGCCUCUGAGGACAGACCGCAUGGCCACAGCAGAAAACCUAAUGUGAAUGUGGAGCAGCAGCGCCAGCAGGUGUGUGCAGCAGGACAUAAGGAUCAGCAAGCCAGGCAGUGCGAGCAGUGGGAUGCAGAGGCAGCAGCACGGUGAGCUGGAGCUGACCACGCCAGAUGGAGACAAAGAUAAAUCAAGCUGACCAAUUAACCUAUAAUUAGCAUAACUGCUGAGGUUUCAUUAACCCUAUGAUCUGGCCAUGGCUGGGAGCCUACCAGGGGCAGCAGCCACUUCAAGGAGCAGACUGUGGUCAAUCACCACCUAUGUUGCUAUUACCCCAGCUGGGGAGAACAGGGGCCACGAAAAGAAGUGCAAGAGCAAACCCAAUGAUUUCAAAGGGAUCCCAACAGUUCCUUCAGCCAAAAUAAACCCGAGUUUAAAAAUGUCUGGGGAGAAGUGCUGAUGUCAACAGGUAUCCACUGAACACCCACUACGUGCCACACAGUGUGGCAGCCAGUAGAGCCGACGGGGCCAUCUACGUGUACACAAAACCCAGCCCUGCAGGGCUCAUAGCAGAAGCACCACCCUGGGGCAAGAGAAGUUAGUGAAGGAACAGCUCAAGCCCAAAGCAGGCAAGCCCCAAGCAGAGUCAGGGAUGGCACUCAAGGCCAAGAGAGCUGCAGGGUCAAGGCCAUAUGGUACAAAGUCUCAGCAAUAGCCCUGUAGGGAUCUGGGCAGAGAAUGGCAGGAGCAGAGGAACACUCAGACAUCUGGCUGAGGGAGGACGGUCUGCCAAGGGAGCACAGUCAGGGGCGGCUACCAAUCCAGGAGGUGGCACAGAAGAACAGGCAGAGAGGCACUAGGGUGGCCAACCAGAGCAGGGCCCUAGGGGCAACACCAGGCCUGGAUUUUAUUCUCAUCAAAGCUCUUGGUGACUCCUCACAGCCACACUCCUAGGGAAGCCCUGAGCACAUGACCCACUUGUCCUCAUAGGUCAAAGGCAAAUCCAGAGCCCAGGUUUUUCCAUCCUGGGCCCCAAAUCCAUGCACACCAAACCAGACAUAAGAGCCAGAAGGGAAUUGAAAGGUUUAGCUCCUAAGAGGCACCACCCUGGAAUUCCAGCCCUCACUUCCUCUCAGAGCACAAACCAGGACACGAGCAUUGGCGGCGGCCAAGAGGGCACCCUACAGCAUCAGGCCCAUCCAGCCAGCAGCGCUGACUGCUCCGCUGUGCCUGGCACACAUGGUGCCCCAUGGUGGUAACCACUAAACCACUCACGAGCACUUGUCCCUCGUCACACUUAAGUCUCCUGCCUGAGAGUGUCAGCACGAGACACUGCAGGCUACAAACUCGGGAGAGAGGGAUACUGGCGCCCACAACUGGUGACCACAAUGCAGCGUGGGUGAGCCUAGGGUGUAGGGCACGGCCAGCAGCCACAUCUGACUCCCCUCCGCACAGCCACAGACCCUCGGCGAGUCUGGUCCCUGUCCCUUGCCGAGCCCGGGGCCGCCACGGUGAACAGAUCACGUCCCUCAGCCCCACAGACAGAAGAAACAGGAAGAGCCAGCCUAGCGGCAAGCCCAGUCGGGCUGGCUCCUGGGCAGCACCGGGCAGGAAGAGG